rnacentral:rRNA from 1 species
UACGUAGGUGACAAGCGUUGUCCGGAAUUAUUGGGCGUAAAGCGCGCGCAGGCGGUCUUUUAAGUCUGAUGUGAAAGCCCACGGCUCAACCGUGGAAGGUCAUUGGAAACUGGAAGACUUGAGUGCAGAAGAGAAGAGCGGAAUUCCACGUGUAGCGGUGAAAUGCGUAGAGAUGUGGAGGAACACCAGUGGCGAAGGCGGCUCUUUGGUCUGUAACUGACGCUGAGGCGCGAAAGCGUGGGGAGCAAACAGG